GAUGAACGCUGGCGGCGUGCUUAACACAUGCAAGUCGAACGAGCCUUCGGGCUAGUGGCGGACGGGUGAGUAACGCGUGGGAAUCUGCCCUCAGGAGGGGGAUAACGGCCGGAAACGGCCGCUAAUACCCCAUAUGCCGAGAGGUGAAAUGAAUUUCGCCUGAGGAUGAGCCCGCGUCUGAUUAGCUAGUUGGUGGGGUAAUGGCCCACCAAGGCGACGAUCAGUAGCUGGUCUGAGAGGAUGAUCAGCCACACUGGGACUGAGACACGGCCCAGACUCCUACGGGAGGCAGCAGUGGGGAAUUUUCCGCAAUGGGCGAAAGCCUGACGGAGCAACGCCGCGUGAGGGAUGAAGGCCUCUGGGCUGUAAACCUCUUUUCUCAAGGAAGAAGACAUGACGGUACUUGAGGAAUAAGCCACGGCUAAUUCCGUGCCAGCAGCCGCGGUAAUACGGGAGUGGCAAGCGUUAUCCGGAAUUAUUGGGCGUAAAGCGUCCGCAGGCGGCCUUGUAAGUCUGUCGUUAAAGCGUGGAGCUUAACUCCAUUUGAGCGAUGGAAACUACAAGGCUUGAGUGUGGUAGGGGCAGAGGGAAUUCCCGGUGUAGCGGUGAAAUGCGUAGAUAUCGGGAAGAACACCAGUGGCGAAGGCGCUCUGCUGGGCCAUAACUGACGCUCAUGGACGAAAGCCAGGGGAGCGAAAGGGAUUAGAUACCCCUGUAGUCCUGGCCGUAAACGAUGAACACUAGGUGUCGGGGGAAUCGACCCCCUCGGUGUCGUAGCUAACGCGUUAAGUGUUCCGCCUGGGGAGUACGCACGCAAGUGUGAAACUCAAAGGAAUUGACGGGGGCCCGCACAAGCGGUGGAGUAUGUGGUUUAAUUCGAUGCAACGCGAAGAACCUUACCAGGGUUUGACAUCCUGCGAAUCCCUUGGAAACGAGGGAGUGCCUUCGGGAGCGCAGAGACAGGUGGUGCAUGGCUGUCGUCAGCUCGUGUCGUGAGAUGUUGGGUUAAGUCCCGCAACGAGCGCAACCCACGUCUUUAGUUGCCAGCAUUCAGUUGGGCACUCUAGAGAGACCGCCGGUGAUAAACCGGAGGAAGGUGUGGAUGACGUCAAGUCAUCAUGCCCCUUACAUCCUGGGCUACACACGUACUACAAUGCUACGGACAAAGGGUUGCAAGCUCGCGAGAGUUAGCUAAUCCCAUAAACCGUGGCUCAGUUCAGAUCGUAGGCUGCAACUCGCCUACGUGAAGGAGGAAUCGCUAGUAAUCGCAGGUCAGCAUACUGCGGUGAAUACGUUCCCGGGCCUUGUACACACCGCCCGUCACACCAUGGAAGUUGGCCAUGCCCGAAGUCGUUACUCCAACCCUUGUGGAGGAGGACGCCGAAGGUGGGGCUGAUGACUGGGGUG
rnacentral:rRNA from 1 species